rnacentral:rRNA from 1 species
GACGAACGCUGGCGGCGUGCUUAACACAUGCCAGUCGAACGGAAAGGCCCUGCUUUUGUGGGGUGCUCGAGUGGCGAACGGGUGAGUAACACGUGAGUAACCUGCCCUUGACUUUGGGAUAACUUCAGGAAACUGGGGCUAAUACCGGAUAGGAGCUCCUGCUGCAUGGUGGGGGUUGGAAAGUUUCGGCGGUUGGGGAUGGACUCGCGGCUUAUCAGCUUGUUGGUGGGGUAGUGGCUUACCAAGGCUUUGACGGGUAGCCGGCCUGAGAGGGUGACCGGCCACAUUGGGACUGAGAUACGGCCCAGACUCCUACGGGAGGCAGCAGUGGGGAAUAUUGCACAAUGGGCGGAAGCAUGAUGCAGCAACGCCGCGUGCGGGAUGACGGCCUUCGGGUUGUAAACCGCUUUCGCCUGUGACGAAGCGUGAGUGACGGUAAUGGGUAAAGAAGCACCGGCUAACUACGU